ACCAUCCACCAGCAGUGAAGGAGAGAGUAUCAGAGGUGGCACUGAGACUUUGCCAGCCUCGGCAUCUUUCAACAGCAGCAACUGAAGUCCCAGCGACCUCUCCCUUGGUUUUCAGAGGGCAGCCAAGGCAGGGAGGUUUAAGGCAGCAUUGUUAUACAGUACACCAGCACCUGACGCAGUGGAAGAAGAACAACCUGCACAGCCCCACUCUGAAUCACUGCCUUAUCACAGCAGAUGGGCUUGCCCUGCUCAACGAAACUGAACUACGCCGUGCAGAGUCACCCCAGACGGACAGUGGAGAGUUUUGACAAAAGAGCAACUUAAGAAAAAUGGGCUGCUGCCCAGGUCUGACCACCUCCACCAAACCAAGUUAGGCAAUGUCCCACAAGGCCAGACUACUAGGCAUCCUUUCCAGGGGUUGCAGAUCUGUGCUGUUCCUCCUUCCCUCUCCAAGGAGAAAAGAAAGAAGGGAUUACCUGAGAGGUACAAGGAUGAGUCAUCCAAUGGCACAGUCCAGCCCAGGGGUUCCCAACCUUUGUUGUGUUGUGUGUUGUGUAACCCUUUGUCAGUUUAGUGAUGUCUACAGACCUCUUCU